rnacentral:lncRNA from 1 species
UUUGACAGGGAUGUCGGUCGACUCGUCGAACACUAGUAUCCAUCAUCCACCCAUAGUGUUGACUUUCCACUUUUAAGAACUCCCAGACUCUUCUGGACUUUUCUGCUCCAUCAUCUUGUAUUCCAAAUCUCGUCCGUACUCCACGGGGAUCGAACUCCUGGUAUUCAUACAAACUUUUCAAUCAUCAGACUUUGAAGAGUCUUCUUGAUUAAUU